rnacentral:rRNA from 1 species
CGUAACACGUGAGCAACCUGCCUAGGUGUGGGGGAUAGCCGUCCCAACGGACGGGUAAUACCGCAUACGCUCAACACGAGGCAUUUCGAGUUGAGGAAACCUUCGGGGCACUAUGAGGGGCUCGCGGCCUAUCAGCUAGUUGGUGAGGUAACGGCUCACCAAGGCGACGACGGGUAGCUGGUCUGAGAGGAUGACCAGCCACAUUGGGACUGAGAAACGGCCCAG